CAUCAAAAUUCUGGAUUAGAUCUAUUUCACUGAUAAAAAAAAAUUAGACUAAUUAGGCUCGAUCUGAUCAAUCGGUGGACAUAUAAAUGAAAGAGCAAUCAAAGUUUGAUCUAUUUAACCUGACUUGACCAACAUAGGAAGGAGAGAGAUGCUCAAUCUAGAUCAGUUGGAUUUUUGGAUUAAAUCUACUUGAUUUUAGAUCCAAAUCAGGGGCAUCGAUCUAGACAGUUUGAGUUGGUC
rnacentral:lncRNA from 1 species